GUAGGGAAUAUUGGACAAUGGGCGAAAGCCUGAUCCAGCAAUGCCGCGUGAGUGAUGAAGGCCUUAGGGUUGUAAAGCUCUUUCAGCUGGGAAGAUAAUGACGGUACCAGCAGAAGAAGCCCCGGCUAACUCCGUGCCAGCAGCCGCGGUAAUACGGAGGGGGCUAGCGUUGUUCGGAAUUACUGGGCGUAAAGCGCACGUAGGCGGAUCAGAAAGUCAGAGGUGAAAUCCCAGGGCUCAACCUUGGAACUGCCUUUGAAACUCCUGGUCUUGAGGUCGAGAGAGGUGAGUGGAAUUCCGAGUGUAGAGGUGAAAUUCGUAGAUAUUCGGAGGAACACCAGUGGCGAAGGCGGCUCACUGGCUCGAUACUGACGCUGAGGUGCGAAAGCGUGGGGAGCAAACAGGAUUAGAAACCCGUGUAGUCC
rnacentral:rRNA from 1 species